AACCUGUCUCUAAUAUUUUAAUUUAAAAUUAUUUAAGGAGUGAAAAUCCUCCUAAUUAAAUACAAAAGACGAGAAGACCCUUAGAAUUAUAAUGAAGUAGAUAUUUUUAUUUAUAAAUUUUAGUUGGGGCAACUUAAUAACAUUUUAAAAUUAUUUUAAUAUAUACUAUACGUCCAAAACUUUUUAGAAUAGAUUAAUUACCUUAGGGAUAACAGCAUAAUUUUAAAAAAGUUUGUGACCUCGAUGUUGGACUAG
rnacentral:rRNA from 1 species